rnacentral:rRNA from 1 species
UACGGAGGGUGCGAGCGUUAGGCGGAAUCACUGGGCUUAAAGCGUGUGUAGGCGGGCGGGCAAGUACCUUGUGAAAUCCCACGGCUCAACCGUGGAACGGCUGGGUAUACUGCCUGUCUUGAGCCAACUAGGGGCGAGCGGAACAGACGGUGGAGCGGUGAAAUGCGUAGAUAUCGUCUGGAACGCCAAAGGUGAAAACAGCUCGCUGGGGUUGUGCUGACGCUGAGACACGAAAGCCAGGGGAGCGAACGGG